ACGUGACGCUGAUAACCACAUAAAAGGAGCCGUCACUGGCCCGCCGGUCCCUCUCCUCCUUGUUUGGUCGCAGUUGUGGACAACUGUUGGGUUGACCGAAUUGUCAACACUUUCACAUGGUAUGUCCAAGUUUUACUCUCUGUCUUCGAAUAGCCGUUUAUUGUUCGUUGUUCACUUGUGGUGCGCUUAAUAAGUUAUUUCCGUGUUGAAUUGUUGGCGAGCUUCCUGCUAGGGCAGCUCACCGCGUGGUUCUUGUGCCACUCCUAACAAAAUGGCAGCUUAACCCCAAGUGAUGCAUUUCAACUUUUGACUGUAAUUUCGAGUUGUGAAACGGCUCCUUAGUGAAGUCUUGGAACGUGGGGUACAGUGCCGCUCAUUUAUCCAGCGCAUUUUUGUAAGGCGCCACCUGUUCUAGCGCUCGUUUGGAUCCUCGUCAAACAAAAUGUCGUCUUUUUAACCCCGUGGGUCAAGCUUUCAAUGAUGAGUUGCAUGUGAGUCCGUGUUUCAGCUGAGUCUGAUGAUUAUUAUUCACUGCACUGAUGUGUUUGACCCCCACACCUCGCGGAGAGGUGUGGUGCUUGUUUUUAAAUGAUUGGUUGAACGGUUUCUAAUGCAAAGAAAAAUCCAUUCUUUAUUUUUAGGUUCUCUGCAGUGACCUUGAUACCAAGGUGAUGUUCCUGAGCUGUAUUGUGCUGCCCCAGAACGUUGAGUAGAGUUUAAAUAAAUUUUGAAAGUUUCAGUGCCACCUACAGCGAUGACAUUUAGUCAACACUUCAAGAGUUUUACAAAUACUACCUUUACAAGUGUAAUUGUGUGGCAGUAUACACUGAAAAGAUGGGGGUGGAGAAGUGAAUUGAGAUUUUGAAAUAAGGCACUCAUAAAUUGUGGACUAUUGAUUGUUUUGGGGUGAAGGUGUUUUUAAGUUUAAAUUGACUUGAGAUUAGAACUUUAAUUUUGUAACCUCCCCCACUUUUCACUGUUCAUCUUGUGUACUAAGACAUUAAUAUGAAAUGUGUGAAAGUGACAAUUUCCUUUUGACGGGUGGUAAGUUUAAGGUGAAUGUGGCAUUCCUCACCCCAAUGUUUCUCCUCAGUCAUGCAUAGUCUAGAAUUUUGUGUACACACCUCAAACGUGUCUAAUAAAAUAAUUUUGUUUAAA